rnacentral:lncRNA from 1 species
GACAAUCUGGACUUGGUCAUGAUCUGGCUUCCCUGGGUCAUUGUCAGACAGCUGGUCAAGGUGAGCCUGAACAGAAGAAAAUCUGUGCAGGGACACACAAAAUGACCAUUUAACUGCCCACAUAUGCCAGCAAAGAUGCGGAUUUGAAUGACCUGCCCAGUUCCUUAAUGUGCCUUUCCCCACUGGCCACAUCUGAAAGCCCUUGAUGUAUCCACUUACAGGCUUGUGGGACAAGACACUAUUCAAAGGAAUGGGAGAAGCACUGAUCCAGAGGUUCCAACACUGAUCUGCAACGAACUGGGCUUCAGUGAUCAACAGUCUCCUCAAGACUUAAUCUGUCGGGAAUUUUAUGUACCCAUGGUCGGCUUCAUCUGUCUUCCAGACAGAGUGAUAAAAAGUGGAAUCACAGCUAAUGGAGUCCCAUGCAGGUUUGUGCUCUUAAUUACUUUCGAAACUUUGAAAUCAGGAUAACAUUUCCAAAGAGAAGUAUCUCUAAUUUUAAAUGAUGUUAAUAUUUCUUCUAGUUACCACACUUCUUUUUUUGUCUUUAGUCUGAAAAACUGAAAGCCUUUGAUACAGGAAAUGAGAAAAGCCCUCUGCUUUCAUUCCAGGAGUUGGAAGAUGAAGAUAAUGUCAAUGCAGCUAACUGCUAAUGCAGUGAAAGGUUAUGAUGAAAAUGGUUUUGAUAAAAUAAAACUCUUGAUGCCUAGGUUACUGAUAGCUCCAAAGACUGGCCUAGAAACUGGCAAGCACUUUACAAGUUACUGGCAACAGAAAAUCUAA